rnacentral:lncRNA from 1 species
GUUUUAUAGGGAAGAGAAGUUCAGUUUCCAUCUCUCGGCCAGCUACCUUUGCGAAUCUCAAGCCUCACUCCCCAGCACGCUGUGUCUGUGCUUUCUGGGUUGAUUGGAUGACUGGGAGUCCGCCAGGCAGAGGACAACAACGUUCAGACCGGCAGAGGGAGCAGCGUGCUCAACAAUGAAGAGGAAGGAAGCUGCAUUCUGGGCUGUAGUUCAGCGGGUGGAAGUGUAGGGCAUGAAGAUCUCCGGGAGGGCAGGUGGUCAGUCAGGAACUACUGGUGGUGUUUCCUGAGUGUAGCAGACAAAGUGAGCGCAAGCAAGAGCGACACAGCGUCUGAUGACUUCUGCAAGCCACCGCAGCCCCAGGGGAUGGGGAUGAGCUCUGCACUGGACGGAUGUGGUGGCAGCACCUGCUCAGGCACGUUGCAGCUGGGGUUUGAAAGCAUGAACCUCGUUCUCCUUUGCGAUCGUUAAAUCUUUUCAGGUCCUUCCUGCAGACCCGCCUUAAGCAACAGUUCACAAGGAAUGCAGACAGGGGCUGCGAUGAAAUGUGAUGAACAGCAAUAAAAAGUACUCAGAUCAGAGUAUUAAUCAUUUAAAACCACAUUGUUCUUAUGGUGUGAAACCAAAAGUGUAAAUAAGGAGCAAAACGUAUAUUAGGUACUGUGAAAUAAGAAGAAAAUGUACAGAUGGGGAUGGCAACAAGGAAGGCGAAGGAGGAAAGGAAAGAAGGGAAAAGUAAAAAAGGUGAGAAGAGAAAGAAAAUAUGGACACAAAGCUUUUGAAAAUGGGAG